GUAUGGGUUCAAGCCGGGGUGACAACUGUGUACCCCCUGGCAUGGUACCCACCUGACUGAGACUCAGAUUGUCCCCAUGUCAAAUAAGGACAACAUUCUCUACAAUCAGUGAGAGCCAGGCUCGGCACGGUUAAAUGACGUACACGGACGGGGUAACCGGAGGGGACGAGGGCGAGUUCCGGACGCCCUUGACUUGACUCUAUGUUCUGACCGCAUGUGCUGCUGCUUGAUCAUAAUGAAGACAGUAUUUCCAUCGUCGGAAUGCAGUUCGGCAGGAGCCACAGAGCCAUUGAUGCCCGGGCCCUUUUCGGAAAAACAAAAUGUGACGUUGGUCUCAACCUUUCUGUAACUCCAAAAGCCUGGGGAGAAAGAAAGGAGGCGACGACCCCAGCCAUCCCCAAGAAGUUAAGGUGGAGGUGAAAUGCAGAGCUUUCUGGUGAGUGACCCUUGCAGCCCUUUGACAACACUAGGAAUGGGGAUAUCCCCUCCCUACCUCUCCUAUUUCCACAUCACUUAAUGAAAACCUCCCAUCAUCCCAUGUGCUUUUUGAAGCACAGACGAAUUUGAACUGACUCUUACUACUUUCCCCCUUGAGCACCCAAACGGUUCACAGCACGGGAAGUUCCAAGGUUGCACAAAAACAAUGCCAUAAGGGUUAUUAAUUUUAGGAGUAAAGCUGGUUGCCUCCUAACUGAUUUUCUGAACUUUUUGGAGUUAGCAACUAUGGCUUUGAAUGCAAAUGAAUUCUGCUUUUUAUAGUAUCAUGGAAAAUGACACACGGACGUGAAUUACAUUGAUGAGGGACCCAAAUUCCCUUUUAAAAACGUAGUAUAUCUAUAAAAUUGGAAAGCCAUCUUCUCCCCUUCUAGAAUGUACCUAUGCUAAUGCCUUACUCAUUUACAGAAAAAGUCCUUUAUGAGGAGAAUAAAGAAUUCUGCUGCCAAACAAGUUGAAGAGAUAGAAUUUGUUUAUCACGGUGGAGGCUUCAAGAUCACACGUCUCCAUUAGAGUCACGUGCGUCUUAAAUACCCACCAUUAUCAAGAGAAAAAUUAAGCCAAGUGUCUGAUAAGAAGAUGUGCUACACAGUCCAACAAUCUUCCGUGUUGUCAAGAUGUCAGACGCAGGCAGCAAAAGCAACUGAAUGAAAUAACUGAAUUUCCACCAUGGACGAAAGAGGGCUUCGAAGUUGGAGCAAAAGUAUUUGUGGAGUGCGGGGAGAACCCAGAG